CGGUGGAUCAUGUUGUUUAAUUCGAUGAUACGCGAAGAACCUUACCAGGUCUUGACAUCCCCCGCGAUGCUUUAGAGAUAAAGCGGAGGUAUUCGGGGAGACAGGUGGUGCAUGGUUGUCGUCAGCUCGUGUCGUGAGAUGUUGGGUUAAGUCCCGCAACGAGCGCAACCCCUAUUGCUAGUUACCAUCAUUAAGUUGGGGACUCUAGCGAGACUGCCAGUGAUAAACUGGAGGAAGGUGGGGAUGACGUCAAAUCAUCAUGCCCCUUAUGACCUGGGCUACAAACGUGAUACAAUGGCUGGAACAAAGGGAUGCGAAGCAGUGAUGUGGAGCGAAACCCAUAAAAACAGUCUCAGUUCGGAUUGAAGUCUGCAACUCGACUUCAUGAAGUCGGAAUCGCUAGUAAUCGCGGAUCAGAACGCCGCGGUGAAUACGUUCUCGGGGUUU
rnacentral:rRNA from 1 species